AACGAACGCUGGCGGCAUGCCUAACACAUGCAAGUCGAACGAGACCUUCGGGUCUAGUGGCGCACGGGUGCGUAACGCGUGGGAACCUGCCCUUAGGUUCGGAAUAACUCCCCGAAAGGGGUGCUAAUACCGGAUAAUGUCUUCGGACCAAAGAUUUAUCGCCUUUGGAUGGGCCCGCGUUGGUUUAGCUAGUUGGUAGGGUAAAAGCCUACCAAGGCGACGAUCCAUAGCUGGUCUGAGAGGAUGAUCAGCCACACUGGGACUGAGACACGGCCCAGACUACUACGGGAGGCAGCAGAGGGGAAUAUUGGACAAUGGGCGAAAGCAUGAUCCAGCAAUGGCGCGUGAGUGAUGAAGGCCUUAGGGUUGUAAAGCUGUUUUACCCGGGAUGAUAAUGACAGUACCGGGAGAAUAAGCACCGGCUAACUUCGUG
rnacentral:rRNA from 1 species